rnacentral:rRNA from 1 species
GAUGAACGCUGGCGGCGUGCCUAAUACAUGCAAGUCGAGCGAAUGGAUUAAGAGCUUGCUCUUAUGAAGUUAGCGGCGGACGGGUGAGUAACACGUGGGUAACCUGCCCAUAAGACUGGGAUAACUCCGGGAAACCGGGGCUAAUACCGGAUAACAUUUUGAACCGCAUGGUUCGAAAUUGAAAGGCGGCUUCGGCUGUCACUUAUGGAUGGACCCGGGUCGCAUUAGCUAGUUGGUGAGGUAACGGCCCACCAAGGCAACGAUGCGUAGCCGACCUGAGAGGGGGAUCGGCCACACUGGGACUGAGACACGGCCCAGACUCCUACGGGAGGCAGCAGUAGGGAAUCUUCCGCAAUGGACGAAAGUCUGACGGAGCAACGCCGCGUGAGUGAUGAAGGCCUUCGGGUCGUAAAACUCUGUUGUUAGGGAAGAACAAGUGCUAGUUGAAUAAGCUGGCACCUUGACGGUACCUAACCAGAAAGCCACGGCUAACUACGUGCCAGCCGCCGCCGUAA